rnacentral:lncRNA from 1 species
CAGACGCUGAGCCAAGGUGUUCUCCAUGUCUGUCAUGAAUCCUUGUUUCAACAUGAUCCCUCUUUAUCACAACUGUAAACUCCUGUAAAAGCAGGUCCAGUAUCUGGACAAGGGAAGAAGGGACGGACUUACAGGCCGUCCUCCCCAUACAGGAACUGGACCACGCUGCCAUCGCUGUCACGGACCGUCAGAUCGUACUGGAUGACCAGCCCCUCCAGGUGCUUGAUGAUACACCUGUAAGGAAACUCCCUGCUCAGUGCCCAUGGAAAACACCUCCCAGGGCGGCGAUGAGGGGAAGGAAGGGGACCAAUGCUCCAGGAGAAACUCUAUGAUGGACCACUUCUAGUGCUCCAGGCCAUGGCUCUAACAUCCAGAGGCUACAAUUCCUGCCCGUUUUCCAGGAAGAGAGCACCUCAGUGGUCUGGCUGCCACACUCCCAAGGCCAGGUUUCCUAUUUAGCUCAGCUGAUAUGGCUGCUCCCCGUUGUUUGCUCUGCUGCAUCUCGGAGCUCUAAGGAACCAGCCAGCAUCCUUAGAAUCACAGGCAGGCAAAGAAGGGAAGAGAAGGAAGAAUUCUUAAACAGUCAGUGCAGACUGCCAAGCAAAAGGGCAGCACCAGGAACUAAAUGCUGACAUGAUGCCCCUACCUAAAGACCUUUGUCUCCAGUCCUCUAUGGUAGCUGGCUCCUUCACCCACCUUUGCUUUCUGUCUUGGUCACAACUCAACGGCUACUGCAGUUUCCUAAGACCCUGUUUUCCAACCCAAGCUGGGAGAGUAGAGCUCAGUUCUAUCUACCACUUCCAUGAUGUUUGACUCAGAGCCCGGCAAGCUGGUGGCAAACACCAACUCUCCUUUCCCCACACAGGGUGGUGGUGGUGAUGUCAGUCUUUGGCCUGCUGCUAUGUUGGCCUUAGAGGGCCUAACAGCUGCCCCUCAUGUCCAUGUCUCUAGACUGCUUCUCUGAGCUUCAGAUCUUAUCGCUAAUGGCCCACUGACACAUCUACUUUGAACCGCCUCCUAUCAAACCGCAGCCAGCCGUAUCCUCCCGCUGCUACAGUAUUCUGUUUCCUGUCAACUGUGCUGUGCUGCCUCUGAGGCCUGAAAACUUGAGUGAGCAGUUCUGUGCCUUCUCCACUUACCCACCUGAAGCCUGUGCUGUGCCUCCUCCUGCCUCAGCUCCCCACUGGCAGGUGAAUUCUGCAAGAUCACUCAGGAGUGCCCUCAACUCUUGUCCUCCCUACACUGAUGCCAUGGAGUCAAGGAGGAAGUGAACACAACAUGGGCACACAUGAAGACAUUGAAAAGAGAUUAUAUCAUCUAAAGAAUGUACACAACAGGUUCAGGGUCUUGGGAUACUAACCCACCUAUCCGAGGUACUUUGUUUUUUACCUUUGGAGAUAGCCAGAACGGCUGGUUUUGACAGCAGUGUCCACCAGGCCUUCUCGUCCUGCCAUGCAGUGGAAGAAGAACUCCUAUGAGGAAAGUGGGAGCCCGAUGUGGCAGUGAGUACCAUGCAGGGUCACCUUAUGCACCCUCUCCUAGCCAUGCAGAUUGUUCAUUUCCUAGAUUCUAGAAUCCUGGCUUUCAUAACCCCAAUAGCUCCUAAAGACUUGUGAUGCCCUGGGAUCGCUCUCUUCCUGCCUGAGGCGGAGGGACACGUGGAUCAAAAGCAACAGGAGUCAGAAGCCCUAAGUGCACUCCCUCAUGCAUCCUGAGGACACUGUAUGCCACUCUGCAGUGAGAAGCAAUGCUGGAGUUCACCGCUGUCCUGCAAAUCCCAGACCUGGAUCCUGUAGCUCAAAUAUUCCCUAAACUUUUCUGUUUAGUUUUGGGAUAAAGUCUUCAUAUGUGGCAUGAGGACUUGCUACGCAGCUUUGGAUGGAGUCAAACAUGACAAUUCUCUCUUGAGCAAGUACUGGGAUUACAGCAUGAGCCAACACAACAGGCUCAAUCUUUUCAUUUUACUACUAACAUGAUCACAUGCCUACUGUAAGCACUUUGCUGGCCCUAGUAUCACAGUGGGCGGGUCUUUCACUGAACCUGAAACUCAUCAUUUUGGUUAGCAUGGCUGACCAGCAUGACCUUUGGGGAUCUGCCUACCCCACCCACAAGGGGACUACAUCAACUGCCAUGCCCAGCUUUUUGCGUGGAUUCUGGAGCCCUGAGCGCAGGUCCUUGGGCUUGUGAAGCAAGCACUUCAGUGAUUGAGGCAUCUCCUUAUUUCAACAUCAAGGUUUUCACUGAAACUCUACAUAGACGGAUGAUGUGCAGAUAUAACAUGCAUAUAUAAACAGACCAAUGCCUGUUGUUAUAAUACACCUCAUAUGGUAUGUAAUCUAAUUGCAUACUUCCAUCAGCUCUGUCUGAGUCCUGACAGUGGUU